UCCAACUAACUUGAGCAAUUAAAAGUCUUAGGACUCAGUCCAAGCCUGUCAGUAAGAACCUUCAGGAGACAAUUAAUCUGAUCCUAAAAUACAGAAUGUAUUUAGGAAUCUGCUCGUAAAAUAUAGAUGAACUGCUCUUAAAAGUGCCUCUCUCUCACUGUUGAAUGCAGAGCACCUCAUUUGUCUGGUUUAAAUGUGACACCUAACUUUUAAAAAAAACAAAGGCAAGCAUGGGUUGCAUACCUAAGGUCUGGGACCUCUGCAGUUCACGCAAUGCUAGCUGACUCAGACGUGGAUUUUGGAGUGUCCUGUACAGGGAUGAUUUUGCUUCCUCCCCUUCUGAAAACGUUUGGAAACAGAGAGAACGUCAACCCAGUGAAAUGGAACGUGGAGCAGAACUGGCCAAACUAGCAGAGAUCUGAGCAAAGGUAUCUAUCUCUGUGGCAUCUCUACACUUCAUUCUGUGGCUUACACCUGCUUGGGUAGUCACAAAGGCUGUGCUUAGCUGAGAACUAAUGCCCUCAGCAGAGUGCAGAGUGCUUGUUAUGAUGGAUACUUAACAUAAUUCCUGGGAUCCCAGCAAAGCUGCAGAUGCAUUUGAACCCUACAUGAAUUUAUGAAGCAUAUCUGAACCUUUGUUAUGGAAGUCCAAUAGUUUGCAAAUGAUGGUACUGUGCACAUUGACCUUACUGUGCUGUAAGCCAUGCCUUACUGUGCUUUCAUAUAAACUACAUCUUCAGUAGGAUCUCAGCUAAGUUGUAUGGGGAGGAUGUAAUUGUGUGUGAUGGGUCAUGAGAUGAGGAGCACCUGCACAAAGCUACCUGAUGGAGGUGUGCUUGACUGCGAAGUCAUGGGUGGUACACCUCAAAAUUUUCUAGGAAGCAGGGGUUAUGCAUGAGCUGCCACUGAUGAGUGCUUCUUUUGGCAGUUUCCCACUGAGGUCCCUCAUCUGCAUGUUGCAUGAGCAUGAGGUUCUGAGGACAAGAAGCACUUUUUCUUUUUGUGUGCUGUGGCUAAGAUCCUUGGCACUAGUUGGGAACAGUUAGAAAUACAUGUGUGGUUCAGAGGAAGCUGCAGGAUUCAUAUUUUUUACAGGUACUUAAUGUAGCAAUUGCAUCAAGAAGAAGAAAAUGAAGAACAAAGAAACGGAAUCACCUAAGGUCUUGUUUAUGCAAACUUCCAUCACAAGAUGUUCUUAGAUGUCUUCCAGAAAUUACUUCCAGAAAUCUCUUGUCUGUCAAACACUGAUAAAUUCUCAUUGCUCUGUAUGUAUACAGCCAUGCUGACAUUUUGGGGUUAGAUGGAUGCCUACCCGCUCUCAGUUUUGGCAAAUCAAGUCUGUUGUUCCCCACUGAGCAGCAAACACGAAUUGAUAUAAGUGUUCUCCUUGGCAGUAGGUCACUGAAAAUACAAGUGGAGUUGGGAUGGUACCUUCCCAAGGAUAUUAGAAUGUAUUAAGUUGCCUCUCUUAUGCCUGUUCAUGGUGCUCUAGAAGAUGGAACUGUCCCUGCAGACUUUUGACACUUGUAAAGAUGCCUUCAUUUUCUACAAGAUCACAAACAGACUUGCAGAAGCAUUAGGAGACAAGAAUGGUACUUUCUAAUCAUGAAAAUUCCCACAUCACAGUAACAGGAACAGCGAAGUAGGUGAGCAUAUAUUUUGAGUAUUUGUCAGUGUUUAGCUUUGAUUUAUAUUUUAUAUGGACUUAUCUGAUUGACUUUUUUAUUCUGGAGAUCUUGUUUUUGUCCUAAACAAGUUUCUUUCCACCCCUUUUUUCUCUCUUUGUUGUUGACAUCCUCGUGGCUAGCUUUCAUUUCUCCUUGUAGGAAGCCAGAGACCUUUCACGCUAUUCGCAUCUUGUUCAUCUUGCAGAGAAAAUAUUCCACCAAAGCAAAUACUUUACCUUCUAAUGCUUACCUGUCCAGCAAAUCAUUCUCGGAGUCAUGCUAUCCACCCUCCUUUGCUCACAAAAUGGACAGCUUGGAGAAGACUGGAACUUGAGGCAUUUCUAGGGAAUACGAAGACACUUCAGAGUGAUGGGCAAGGUUGCUGAGCUGCAGGACAAGAAAUGUGAGAAGAUACAUGGGAUGUAACACAGGAGUCAGGAUAAGGAAAUGGAGGGCAAAGGCAGAAUGGAAGAAAGAAAAAGAGCGCAGAAAAGAAGCUGACAGGAUUACGAGCACGUAAACUGUAAACUCUGAGACAGGGACCCUCUUUUCAUUUUGUUGCAUGCAGUGAACGAUACAACAGCCCACAGUCCCUAAGUGGGGUCUGUCGGCAGACUGCGGGACUGUAACAAGGUGGACAGUUUUCCCACCAUCCUUUACACUAGCAGCUCUUCAGCUUGCCUAGCUGGCUCUAAAGCAGUAGCUGUCCUAUGGACAGCACAUUGAAAUAGAGAAACCUUCUACCAUUAUGGUGGUGGCACUGCAGAAAUCCAUACUGACCUCUGGGUUUUGCCAGGAGGCCCAGGAGCUCUGCACUUUGCAGAGCAGUUAUUUUCUGAAAAGGUUGUUCCUAGAGAAACUCUGCAGCAAGCUGGGCCUGCUCUAUGUUCUCUCCUGGAAGCAGAGAGGAAGAAAAAAGUCUCCAAGGCAAACAGGGAGCUGAUGAUUGUGGUUAAUUGGCAGAGAAGAAGAAGCAGGGGUGGAUCCAUUUUUCGUGAAGGGCAGAAGGAGGACAGAAGAAAUUGUGCUGUGUUCUUUCCUCCCUUUUCUGAUAAAUCUGACUUCAUGCACUUGAAAAAUGCAAAGGCGCCGUUUUACUGUGAUACUUGCGUUUCUCUGCCAGGCCCUUCUGCUUUAGAGGUAUGGAGAUGGAGACCCAAAUUUGGGAAAAGAUGAAAUAGUAAUACUAGUAGAAGAGUCCUGCAGAGGUGUGUGGCGGGGGGGCAAACCUGUAGAGUUUUACUGGGAUUAUGUAGAGAAGCAGCAUUACUUCAGAGAGGCCAGAAAGACCCUUUAGCUGGUCAAAUGUUUUCUAAGAAAACUGUUUUAACUUAUUUGCCUUUCAGAAAGGGUGAUAGUUUCUAAUGUAAAGUUUCUUCAUUAUUUUUAAGAAUAUUUUUCAAUAAAAACUAUAUACAGAAAAAAAAGUCCAAAAUUAUCAAACAUUAUUAAAAUGGUUGUGGUUAGAAAAAGGUAGAUAAAACUUUUCCUUGAAGGAGCUUGGGAUACAGUAGUUAGUUAAGAGUUUCAAUAAGGUGUCCAGUAGAUGUUCUGAUGUUUUCAGUUAAAAUUCAGGAUCAUAACAGCACACACUUUUUAAGUCACAUAUAAAAGUCCUAUUUUGAAUUCUUUGAAAGAAAACUAACUGCAAUAAUUGAAAACAAGCAUGCAUGCAAACAUUGUUGCUUUGUUUUGUGAAAACACCAGGAGAGUGUGAGCUAGAUGGAUUUGAAGAUGCAGGAGGGCUCUUCCCACUGGGGAUGGGUGCCAUGCAAAACAUCCUAUUUCCUACUAAGAUCAU